rfam:Pontibacillus marinus BH030004 = DSM 16465 strain BH030004 contig58, whole genome shotgun sequence.
GGGGACGUUACGGAUUCGACAGGGAUAGAUCGAGCUUUAGUAGCGAGUCGUAUGGUAACGCGUCAAGUGCCACGCCAAUAAUAACUGGCAAAGAAAACAAUUACUCUCUAGCAGCUGCAUAAGCUGACCUAGAGGAUCCUUCCUGCCAUCGCCCAUGUGGUAGAUUGAAGGGUCUCAAACUGAAGUGGGCUACGCGUUCAUUCGCCGUCUUAGGAUGAACGAAGAGACCAAUAAGACUAGCUACAAGGAAGCCCGUCAGUAGGUCGAAUUGUUAGCGAAUCAUAAUAUACUGACUACGCUCGUAGAAGCUAUUGUGACGAUAUCUCUGGACGUGGGUUCGACUCCCACCGUCUCCACCA